CAUUGCCAUCUGGUAUCUGACACGUGGUCUUCUUUUAUGCCUACUUGUCUUGAAAUAUGGCAUACAAUAAGGGGGAACGGACCUUGCGACACUGGUUGCUCGUCAUGAGCAUCUAGUUACUAUAUAGCCGUUUACAUGU